rnacentral:rRNA from 1 species
AUACGUAGGGGCCGAGCUUUGUCCGGAUUUAUUGGGCGUAAAGGGAGCGCGGGGGGUUUGUUAAGUCAGCUGUAAAACGCAUGAGCUAAACUCAUGACUGCGGUUGAAACUGGGUAGCUUGAGGGCUGGAGAGGUAGGCGGAAUUCCCGGUGUAGCGGUGAAAUGCGUAGAUAUCGGGAAGAACACCAGUGGCGAAGGAGGCUUACUUGCCAGCAACUGACGCUGAGGCGCGAAAGCCGGGGGAGCGAACGGGAUUAGAUACCCGGGUAGUCCGGGCCGUAAGCGAUGAAUGCUAGGUGUGGGUGUCGAGAGGCAUCCGUGCCGGAGUUAACGCGAUAAGCAUUCCGCCUGGGGAGUACGAUCGCAAGAUUGAAACUCAAAUGAAUUGACGGGG